rnacentral:rRNA from 1 species
GACGAACCGUGCGAACGUUAUUCGGAAUCACUGGGCUUAAAGCGCGUGUAGGCGGGGUGGCACGUCCGGCGCUGAAAUCCCCCGGCUCAACCGGGGAACGGGCGCGGAUACGACCGCCCUGGAGGGACGUAGGGGGACCUGGAACUUCCGGUGGAGCGGUGAAAUGCGUUGAGAUCGGAAGGAACGCCCGUGGCGAAAGCGGCUCACUGGACCACUACUGACGCUGAUGCGCGAAAGCUAGGGGAGCAAACAGG